UGGCUCAGUGGUGAAGAGCACUGACUGCUCUUCCAGAGGUCCUGAGUUCAAAUCUCAG
rnacentral:tRNA from 1 species